GCCUCCGUAGCUCAGCGGAAAGAGCAGCCGCCUUCUAAGCGGUUGGUCGCAGGUUCGAUCCCUGCCGGGGGCGC
rnacentral:tRNA from 1 species